rnacentral:rRNA from 1 species
AUGUCUCAGUUUAAGCAGCUCCAUAGCAACACUGUGCAUGGCUCAUUAAAACAGCCACAACCUGGGUCGUGGUCCUGCUACAUGGAUAUCUUCGGCAAUUCUGCAGCUAAUACAUGCACCAGCAUUCACCUGUGGUGAGUUGUGGUUGUUGCAUUCAGAAUUAAUGCAAGCUGUGCUUGAUGACCAGAUGAAUCAUUACAACUGCAUGGAUUGUAGUUUGUACACUGUUGAUGCUCUAUCAAGGUUUCUGACCUAUCAGCUUCCGAUGGCAGGGUAAAGGCCUACCGUGGCAGUGACAGGUGACGGAGGAUUAGGGUUUGACUUCGGAGAGGGAGCCUGAGAAAUGGCUCCCACAUCUAAGGAAGGCAGCAGGCGCGUGAAUUGCCCAAUCCUGAGAGAGGGAGGUAGUGACAAAAAAUAGCGAUACAAGGCAUCCAUGUUUUGUAAUUGGAAUGAGGGAUCAGUAAAUGUCGUUUUGAGUACCAAUUGGAGGGCAAGUCUGGUGCCAGCAGCCGCGGUAAUUCCAGCUUCAAUAGCGUAUGUUAGAGUUGUUGCAGUUAAAAGGCUCGUAGUUGGAUUUCUGCUGGAGAUUGCUGGUCCGCCCU